rnacentral:misc_RNA from 1 species
CGCACCCAAAAAUACUAUCAGGCAUGGCAUGAAUUCCUGGCAAAAUGAUCUGACUCACAGUAUGGAUAACGCCAUUCAAUUUAUCUAAUCUAUUAAAUUUUUAGUCUUCAAUAGCUCGGUUUUUAUUAGUACAGAACGAUUUCAAACAUUGAUGUGCCACUCUAGGUAAUUUACAUUGAUGUAACAACAUCACAAUGGGGAACACAAAUUCCUACAGCCAAAGGCGCAAUGAAGUAAACCAAAAAAUCCAGGAAAAAAACCACAUUUGCAUAGCUAUGAAUGAAGAAGUCCAAGAAGCCAUCGAAAGCAAAGAUCCAACCAUCGUCAAGAAGCUGAUGGCAGAAGUAGCAGCUCACAUGAUCGAUUUGCAGCAACUCCGAUCGAUGGAAUUAUCCAGCAGCGAACGAGGAAGAAGCCAGAGGAUUUUAAAAAAUUUUGAAAUGUUUAUGGCCUCAUUGAAAUCUGUUCUAGUCCCGGAAAGUCCAGCGUUUCAGAGCAGCUCACGACCUUGUAACUCGAGUCGAAUUGAGCCAGACAUUGUCAGCGAUUUAAUUCACUUGGAGAAUUCUGAUAGUACGAGGAGAAACUCGUCCUUAACUACCCCUGAGUCAUCGGCAAAUCCAUCAGCGACGCAUUCACAGCGUCAAAAGGAUCUGCCGCUGCAUACAAGCACAUGCCACGCAAUUGAAGGUGUAUUUCAAGCCAUCGUGAGCGAAUUUGACUUUCUAAAGGAUAAACUCCAAAGGCCGAUAGAUGACAUUGGCGAGUACUACCAAAUAGAUAAGGGAGUUUUAUUUCUACAACUACAACUAAACAGCGUAGAACUACCAGAUAAUUCACCAUUGUAUGCUACCAAAUUUAAACUACUUGAACAAUUGGAAAGUUUUCGUUUGCUCCUUGAUCAAAAGUCUGGUGAACUUGAAGAACAGCAACAGCUCGCUAAAGAAGUGAAUACUCUGGAAUUGAAACUGGAUAGUGCAGUAACGGAACGAGAACUACAAUGCUUAAAUAAGAGGGCACAACUGAUACAGGAAACUAUUAAAAAUGGGAUUUGGGAUGAUAACUUAGUUGAGAAUAAAGCAGAUAUAUUGAAAAGGUUAUUCGCUAUACUAGUUAAAAUUAAUUGUGCAAGUAAGACAGAGGAUACGGAACUGGACGAGUUAGAAGGUAUACGGUCAAUCGAUCGUAUACUAGAAGAGGAAGCCGAAAAAUUAAAUAUCAACGACGAUGAAGAAUUAUACGCCAAUGUUCCCCAUCGAAGCAGAUCAGAAGUCGACUUGCAACCAAGACUUCGACGAACAAGCAGCAACGUGUCCCAAAGAGGCACAGUCUACAUUAACGCUGAUGUUAUCAGGCAGAACACAACAUCGGAUAAACCACAGAUUUUCUCGAAUAGCGUGCAGAAAUAUUUAGAACCAAUCAACAAGCGUCCAUUACCGCUGCCCCGCAACUAUGAAGAAAAAGUUAUCAAUGACUUGCCUAACCAAUGGAGGAGACUGAAUAAGAUACUUAACAGUCAAUUAAUCAGCGACGCAGAAAAGUCCGAAGUGGCGGAGAUCAGAAAGCAGGCGGAAAUUGCUAAAAAUUUGUUCGAAAGAAAAAUUCGGAAAAUCAUGGACAAAGUAGAGGAAAGUGUCGAAUUGUGAAAGUAGUAUUUUGCCAGACUUUUUUUUGACUGAUAUUAAUUAAUAGCUUUAUUUCAAAAUUGACUAUUUCUAUUGUCAGAGCGGGUUGGUAAAUGCUACUAUUUUCAGAAUGAAGCGGAAGUAUUGAUAAUAUAAUGCAAGAAUUAUAUUAUCACUUGAGUCUUAAGAAAAUGGAAGACAAAUUUUACAACAUAUUAUUUUUUUUAUUAAUACAUAAGUUUCAAACAAUAUAUUCUGCUAUACUGUGCACUAACGUUCGUAUUCAAUGACGCAGGAUAUAUUAAAUAAAAUAUGUUUUUUCCAACUUUAAGCGCUUUAAAACAUGGAAAUGUGAAGGUUUGGAAACGAAAGCAUUUUAAUCAAGUACAUAAGUUUUGUUCGAAAAUUGAUACGCACAUAUUUCCAGAUUUAAGCAUAAAAUCUAGAAUUAGAAUUAGGCAUAUAAUAUUUGGGACAGUAUCUAACUUAUUUAAUUUUGUAUUAUAAUGCGUAUUUGUGAAAUUUCCAGUAUGUCUGUAUCAGCCAAUGUUUUGAAUGAACUGUAUUUCUAUAUACUGAAAGCUAUUAAAACUUACUCCAGAGUUAAGUUUAUAUAAGGAAAGGGACUAAAUGUUUCAAUGUUACCGACAAUACGCGUCUUACAAACUAGUUCUAACUCUAAGUUACUAUGUGAAUGCACCAUUGCUUUUUGUAGAUGUAUUAUUUUUAUAUAGCUGCUUUUAAUACAUAAAAUAUCUCAAA